CAGCAGCCACGGUAAUACAGAGGGUGCGAGCGUUAAUCGGAUUUACUGGGCGUAAAGCGUGCGUAGGCGGCUUCUUAAGUCGGAUGUGAAAUCCAUGAGCUUAACUUAGGAAUUGCAUUCGAUACUGGGAAGCUAGAGUAUGGGAGAGGAUGGUAGAAUUCCAGGUGUAGCGGUGAAAUGCGUAGAGAUCUGGAGGAAUACCGAUGGCGAAGGCAGCCAUCUGGCCUAAUACUGACGCUGAGGUACGAAAGCAUGGGGAGCAAACAGGAUUAGAUACCCCCGUAGUCCCUGUCUCUUAUAC
rnacentral:rRNA from 1 species